rnacentral:rRNA from 1 species
GGAAGGGCUUGAGAUCAGACUUGGUAUUUUGUAUGUUACUCUCUCGGGGGUGGCCUCUACAGUUUACCGGGCCAGCAUCAGUUUGAGCGGUAGGAUAAGUGCACAGAAAUGUGGCACAUCCUUCGGUAGGUGUGUUAUAGUCUUUGUCGAUACUGCCAGCCUUAGACUGAGGACUGCGGCUUCGGCCUAGGAUGUUGGCAUAAUGAUCUUAAGUCGCCCGUCUUGAAACACGGACCAAGGAGUCUAACGUCUAUGCGAGUGUUUGGGUGUAAAACCCGUACGCGUAAUGAAAGUGAACGUAGGUAGGACCUCCUUUAGGAGUGCACUAUCGACCGAUCCUGAUGUCUUC